GGAAGGGUGGCAGAGUGGUCGAUUGCGGCGGUCUUGAAAACCGUUGAACCGCGAGGUUCCGUGGGUUCGAAUCCCACCCCUUCCGCCA
rnacentral:tRNA from 1 species